AGAGAGGACUCUUUCAACAGCUUAAAAAAAGGUUAUAUGGCCACAUGUGUCAACAGAUAGUUCUUUUAGUCUUGUAUGAUAUGGUGAGUUGUUGUUCUUGUGAGGACUUGGCAAAUGGAAGGAACUAGGUAUCCCGGGUCAAUGGUUCUAUGCCUUACCCACAUCUCAGCUGCUUGAGAGUGGCACGUCACCGCACCGCCGAGCCCGACUGCCACAUCAAUGAGGCUCCUUUGUUGCCCCGUGCAUAGACACAACCCUACUACCGCAUGUUAGUGGCCCUUUACUACUUCGCCAUGAUGCAUUGCCGCAUGCAGCAACUCGCCGGUGGCAGCAGCCCUCCACCACCAGCAACAGCGAUUGCCUGCUGGGUAGUAGUGAAUAACCUUCACCGCUCUAUCAUCUUUCCCUCACCCAUUCGGUAGCCCUCCCAGGCUGAACCAUCAUGGUUGAAGAAGAUAUCUUUGGCCAUGGCUCUUGGAUUGAAAGCAGGAGAUGGUCUGCUGCUUCUUGUAAUUGAAAUGCGAAUUGAAGGAUUAGAAGCAUAAGAAAAUGGGAUUGGAUAAAUGCCUGCCAUGCUCUGUUCUGGUUAGUUAUGCAGCAGUUGCUGAAAUAUGGUGGGAAACAGGCAUACCAAGCAUACCAGUUAGAUAUGAGAUAGAGGAGCUGAAGCGGUACCGCAGGGUAGAACUGGAGUAUGGUACCGUUCCAUAUGCAUGUUACAUGUGGAAUCAUAAUAUAUCCAAUCUGGACCGUUGAUAUUUUUGGUUUCAUUAUGGAUGAAUCAGGGAUUAAAAUAUGAGCUUAUCGGUAAAUGAUUUUCCUCGAUUUAUUUA